rnacentral:lncRNA from 1 species
UUCACAAAACAGAGGAUUUAUAAAAUCAUUCAAGGAGAGACAAUUUAAAAAUCAUUGGUCUAUCAGAAGACCAUGACAAAAGAAAAAGUCUGGACAUCAUACUGCAGGAAAUUAUUAAAGAAACUGCCCCGAUCUCCUAGAACAAGAGGGAAAAGUGGAAAUUGAAAGAAUCCACAGAUCACCUCGUGUACUUAAUUUCCAACUAAGAACACCCAGGAAUUUUAUAGCCAAAUUCAAGAACUAUCAGACCAAAGAAAAGAUAUUACAAGCUGCUAAGAAGAAGUCAUUCAUAUACCAUGGAACCACAGUGAGGAUAACUCAGGACCUGGCUGCAUCCACACUGAAGGACCGAAAGGCAUGGAAUAUGAUAUUCCAGAAAGGAAGGGAACUAUGUCUACAACCAAGAAUCAACUACCCAGCAAAACUGACUAUAUUCUUACAGCAGAGAGUAUGGUCAUUUAACACAAUAGAAGAAUUCCAAGAAUUUGUAAAGAAAACACCAGACCUGAACAGAAAAUUUGAUGUCCAAGCACAGAACUCAAGAGAAUCAUCAAAAGAUGAUGAAAUUCCCCAAGGAAAUACAACUAGGAAGAAGCAGAACCUUGACUUGAGCCCAGUCCUCUUUCACUGCACCAGAUUACUUCUACACAUUUCCCUUUUGGCCCCACCAUGACUCCCACCACUUCUGUGAUCUAGGCAUUGGCAAAGGAGGUGGAGGAAUUUAAGGACAUAGUGAUAUUGGAAUAACAAUUUUGUGGCAUCACAAAUUAUAAGAAUGUACUAUUAGGAAAGAUUGCCCAAGGCAACAAUCUCCUGAGUAGGAAAUGCCAGUUUAUACAACUAGUUUUUUCAUUAACUCUUGAAGAUAAAGCCAUCUGAGAUUGGGAUGGGCUGAUACCUCAGAAGUGUCCAUGCCAAAAGCUGUAACUUCAGUUUAACCUCAGGCAAUGAAAUAGAGGGGAAAUCUGUGAUAUGUUUGCACUGGCUUCAUUCAAUCUGAAUUGGAGAUUCAGAGACAACCAGCAGAGUCAAUUUUAGGUUUAUUUCAAGUUAAAAAUCACAGUUCAAGAGGAAGUUACAGCAAACAUUACCCUGUGGACAUGGAAAGGGAAAUAUCUUUUUAAAUAAAUGUUGAUUGAAAUUUCA